rnacentral:misc_RNA from 1 species
GGGAAACCAAGUGACACCGAUCCAUCAGCCAACCCCAUGCAAAUUGAUGAUUCUGAAGGAAAACCUGAUAUAAAUGAUAUCACAAUGGAAGAAGCUCAGGCUUCGGAGAAGAAACAAGAACCCACUGAUGAGGCCAGUGAGGCUAACAUCGACUUGAAUCUGGGGUUGAAAGGUCGCGAUGGAGAAGUUGGAAUUGAUUCGAAAUCA